GAUGAAGAACGCAGCGAAAUGCGAUAGGUAAUGUGAAUUGCAGAAUUCAGUGAAUCAUCGAGUCUUUGAACGCACAUUGCGCCCCCUGGUAUUCCGGGGGGCAUGCCUGUCCGAGCGUCAUUGCUGCCCUCAAGCACGGCUUGUGUGUUGGGCCUCCGUCCUCCUCCCGGGGGACGGGCCCGAAAGGCAGCGGCGGCACCGCGUCCGGUCCUCGAGCGUAUGGGGCUUCGUCACCCGCUCUUGUAGGCCCGGCCGGCGCUUGCCGACACAUCAAUCUUUUUUCCAGGUUGACCUCGGAUCAGGUAGGGAUACCCGAUGAACUUAAGCAUAUCAAUAAGCGGAGGA
rnacentral:misc_RNA from 1 species